AACAAGCGAAUCGGUUACCACCCGAGAGUGGGACAUUUCAGCGGUACGCCGUGUUGGUCGUUCGAAUGUUUUAGUGAUAUCCUUUAGGGAAAUUGAGUGCGCAUCGCAUAGUGUGAUGGAGCAAAAUACAAACAGUUCAAUUUGAAAAUUUUGGAUUUAUUAUGUCUUAUGAUGCAUUUGAUGAAUUUAGCUGCCUCGAAGGUUGCGAUCAAUUUAACGCAGGAAUCGCUUGUUUGUGCGAAGUCCAGUUUUUCGGAACCACCUCUACCGGCGUUUGUAGCGAAGAAGACUUUUACACAUCCGCCGCUGGAACCGUUUUUCGUAGAGAUCAUUUGUCAGUGUCGGAAUCAGAUUCUGACAACAUGUCAAAUAUUAAAAUUUCUCAGAUUGAUAAUACUGUUAUGACACUCGGUGGUCGAAUAGCCAACGGACCGGCGGAUGCCACGCAUCUUAUAAUGACACGAGUAACAUUGGUUAGUGUUCGAUACUGCUUAUCUAGGAUAUGGAUUACUAAAAGUGUCGGGGCAUGGUUUUACCUAUGUGAAGGAUGUGGAUGAUACCUUUUAGUGUAAACCGUACAAUGUUCUCAAAUCAACCAACCGGAAUUUUUCUUCAAUUCUCUUCAGGAAAAACAGCAUGUUCAGCCAAGAAGAUCCGGAAAACGAAGCUAGAGAAACCCGGAAUACAUCGUGAUUAUAAGUUGUACGGAAUGUCAAAUCUUUAUACAACCAUUUAUUGAAAAAAAAUUGUAACAUGCAUACCUUGCUACUUCACUAAGCGUUUGUUUCGUAAUAUAUACAUUGAUGGCGGGCGAACGAAAGUAUUCUAAGUUAUUUACGUUCACUGAUCCUAUCAACAUAAAUGAAAUAAAAUGUUUAAAGCGAUAACACAGACUAACAGA